rnacentral:lncRNA from 1 species
GUAGUUACCAAGUUCCCUCAGAUGAAGGAAGGGAGAACCCUAAUCUGAAGAGGGGAGGUCUGAAGUGGACAGGAACAGUAUCAAGGAGACCACAGGAGGCAAAACAUUAAAAGUUGAAGAAACAGCAUAAAUAACAGAAGACUGAAACUAAGCUGAUUGGAUCAAGGACAGACACCUGACCAAGGACAGUCACGCUGUGCUUUAUGUCCCGGCAGAAAAAGGCUCUGAUUUGUAUCCUAAAGGAGUAGUCCAACGGAAAUAGGCAAAUGCCAGCAAUGGGAGAAGA